UCCUACAACAUUCCUAUCCUCUUAUGUAUACUUUCGUUUUAGCAAAUAAUUCGCCACUUACUUGUACGACGUGUUGCUAUAACCACGAUAUUAUCGUAUUAUUAUUAUUACAACUCUUGGUGAAGUAAACCAGCACAUUUAUCCUCAACUCGAUAAUUUCUGAAGGUCAGUGUUUAGAUGUUUUGAAAUAUUACUGGAUCAUCUUCCAGUUAAAACAAAUAUCUUUCAUUACGCUGUCGUGUAUUAUCGGCCCUACUGUGGCGUCACCCUUGGAAUUUUCAACGAACAGGAACAAGUACUGAUUUGUAUUUUCAGACCAGUCUUUAUUUACAUUAAAACCAGUAAGCAACUAGUAAACAUUAUAUAGGUCGGCGAUAACAGUCAAAACACAACGGAAGACGAAAUCAGAGAAUUGGAUAAUAUUAUAGCUGACAUUUCUGUUAAAUUGCGUCGUAUGACUGUGUGCAUGUGUGUACAUAAAAUUAAAUGAAACAGCGAUUAAAGAGAAGGGGUGCAUCAUUAGCGUCAACCUUAUUGGUCCAUUAAUGACAUAACUAUCUUUUGUUUUAAAACUGACAACGAAUUUUAUUUUGUCUUAACAGUUUCUGAAACAUAUAAUAAUGGAAAGUUGCAGCGGAUUAGUUUCACUUUUAAUCAUGGUUUUGGUUGUACUUUUAUUUAAUUGUUCGACCACAUCGUCAAGGUCUUUGAAUGAGGAGAGAGUCUGUAGGUAUGAGAAUAUGACCAUUACCGCUGGAAGAAGAUUUCACCCAGAACCCUGUAUGACCUGUUCGUGCUCACGUCACGGGGGCAGGGUGACCUGUUCUAUUAAAGACUGUCAAAGUGAAAUUAACUGCCUAAAAUUUGACAAAAACUCGAGGUCUUGUUGUCCCAGAUGUUUGGAAUACGGUUGCGCUCACACAGAUGGUAAAGUUUAU